GUAACUUUGGCUUCUCAGUGCACAAACAUAGGAACAAUAAUUCACAAAAUCUACAAGUCUUUUUCACACUUCACAGAAACGUUUCUAAAAUGUUUUAUGCCAACAAUUGGACCUCAUCUUUCUGAUCUGAUUUUUAGGAAAAAUGAAGACAGUGGUGCUGUUAUCCAGGGAUUUCCUAGAACUGAUAAAAUGUCAGAUAGUGUCAGAAGGGUGGUCAAAGUAGAACUUUAAUGAUACUCCCGGAUAGCUGAGUGAACAAGCAAGGUACCUGCAAGGACCCACUUGUGUCCUUUGAUGUCUCACAGCAGUGGGUAAGUUCCCUCUUGGAUUUCAGAGCUCCAUGGAUUUGUGUUUUGAAUCUUCUGAGUUUCUUUGAGCAAAUUUCUGUUCUAAACUCGGUUUUGAAAGUAGUAACAGAAACUGGACUGUGUCCCAGAUCAGAUUUGAUCUGGUAAUUAACUGGCUUGGAUCUAGUUAGAGGCCUCUUAUAUCUGACUGGGUCAGAGAGAAACUAGUCGUAAAUGGCAAUAUUGCAGGGGUUGUAACAUUUGGCUUGAAAAUUUGCAGGGAUUUUUUUGUGUCUUUGUUUCAUUUCUCUUGGAUUCUUCAGUAGAAAAAUCAUUGGCUAAGUUAAUCAAGGGAACCUGUGAGCAAAACCAAUAUUUUUGCUGAAAAUGGGAUCCUUAAUUUCUAAAAAACUGAUUCCCUUUCAUCUUACACACUAUGCCCAGGAAGCAGCAGUCUUAAUAGAAAUGGUGAAAUCUUACUAAUGAUAACUUACAGUGGAACAUUCUGAAUAAACAACAAUGCAUUGAAGUGAAUUUGAAAAUGAGGGUUCCCCAAAAUUAAGUCUGCUGAACUUUAUUUGCUAUCCCAAGCCAAAGAAAAUAGACUAUAGCACCCAUUGGCUGACUUUAGAUAUGUAAUGGGGUGCAUUUUACCUGAGUAAAGGGUAGCAUUGGGUUAGAGGCCCUCCCCUCAGUAAAGUCCCUCUUGGUUAAAAAUGGAUUAAAAGUGACAGGGCCCAAGUAGGUGCAGAUUUGACCUUUGCCAGUUCAAUAUUGGGUGCUAAGCAGAGUGGCUAGUGUCUAUAUUUUGUCACACUUAUUUUGCUCUGGCCAGAAUGGAAAAUGUUAAUUUGGUUGACCCAUAAAAUCCUUUGGGCAGCAUCUUGCAAGACAAAGAGGAUUUUGCCUAUGGUUCUGUGAUUUUCCUUUGUGAUGCAGCUUGGUCCCCAGAGGUAUGGUGUGGCAAGCAAGGUAGUUAGGGCUCCUGAUGGAAGGGGAACCCAGAAACCUGACAUCCUGACAAAAGGGUAGGAAUUUCUUACCAGUCAGGUUUCUGGCCUCCCUCUCUCUCUCUCUGCAAAUGGGUUGAAUGAAUGAUAAAAACCACUUUUUAUCUUCUCUGUAAAGUUUUGAUUAAUACGAAAAAGGAUUCAGAGGCUAGUCUUAAGCCGUAGUAAAUCUGGUGUAUUUUGUGCUAUAAGUUUGUCUUUCCAUGUCAUUCUGUCAUGAAUAUGGGUACAUUAGGAUAGAACAUGGGCUUAGGGCCCCAUAAGCUCACUGUUCAAGAUGCUACAGCAAGCUGGACAAAGUUAGCUCCAGGUCUCUGAAAAACAAAG
ensembl:lncRNA